UGUAUGUCAGUUAACUCUCAUAAGAUU
rnacentral:sRNA from 1 species